AGAAGUGCUUAUUUCCCCUUCGCUUUCCACCACGAAUAUUUUUCCUGAGGCCUCCCAGUCAUGCUUCCUGUUUUGCCUGCAGAACUGCAUUUAUGAAGUAGGGACCUGGAAUUGAAGAGACUCCUAAAGGAGAGACAGAAGUUUGAAAGAGCAAGAAGAGUGGAUGUGGAUCCAGACAGAAAAAGAGAACAGCAAAUAUUUGAAAGAGCUUAAGACGUACUCCUCAAGGGGUUUCUCCUUUUGCGUCUUUCUCAUUUCUUUUGCUGCCACCGUGUAAGAAGUGCCUUUUGCCUCCUGCCAUGAUUCUGAGGCCUCCCCAGUCAUGUGGAACUGUACCACAGAUAGAAGCCUUGAGAAGCUUACUUUGGUCAGAAAUUUUGCCUUUGUCUGCAGGCUUCUACCAGUUCGAUUCCAUCUGUGGGUCUUAGGUUUCAGUUACCUGAAGUCAAAUGUGGUCCAAUACACAGACUGGAAUAAGAGACAUUGGAGACUCCAAAAGAAUAUUUUCUGGUAGACUGAUAUAUUUCUCCUAAAAAAUUUGGAAAAAUUUUGUGAUGAAGAAGCUACCUGGGCCUGAAGAUAUCUUUUCUGGACAAAGUAAAUGAAUGAUUGAAGACCUGCAAACUGUGUUUGUAACGACUUUCUAAGAUUGAUAGCCUCCGUGUUUCAAUGCUCAUGGAGCAGAUGGAUAUGACUGACACUGCCCUUAAUACUACAGCAUGAUCCAAAGCAUCACCAAAGUCUUCAAAGAGAAAGUAAAAAAAAAAAAAUGCC
ensembl:lncRNA DISC1FP1 DISC1 fusion partner 1